GAUGAACGCUGGCGGCGUGCCUAAUACAUGCAAGUCGAGCGAACGGACGAGAAGCUUGCUUCUCUGAUGUUAGCGGCGGACGGGUGAGUAACACGUGGAUAACCUACCUAUAAGACUGGGAUAACUUCGGGAAACCGUAGCUAAUACCGGAUAAUAUUUUGAACCGCAUGGUUCAAAAGUGAAAGACGGUCUUGCUGUCACUUAUAGAUGGAUCCGCGCUGCAUUAGCUAGUUGGUAAGGUAACGGCUUACCAAGGCAACGAUGCAUAGCCGACCUGAGAGGGUGAUCGGCCACACUGGAACUGAGACACGGUCCAGACUCCUACGGGAGGCAGCAGUAGGGAAUCUUCCGCAAUGGGCGAAAGCCUGACGGAGCAACGCCGCGUGAGCGAUGAAGGUCUUCGGAUCGUAAAACUCUGUUAUUAGGGAAGAACAUAUGUGUAAGUAACUGUGCACAUCUUGACGGUACCUAAUCAGAAAGCCACGGCUAACUACGUGCCAGCAGCCGCGGUAAUACAUAGGUGGCAAGCGUUAUCCGGAAUUAUUGGGCGUAAAGCGCGCGUAGGCGGUUUUUUAAGUCUGAUGUGAAAGCCCACGGCUCAACCGUGGAGGGUCAUUGGAAACAGGAAAACUUGAGUGCAGAAGAGGAAAGUGGAAUUCCAUGUGUAGCGGUGAAAUGCGCAGAGAUAUGGAGGAACACCAGUGGCGAAGGCGACUUUCUGGUCUGUAACUGACGCUGAUGUGCGAAAGCGUGGGGAUCAAACAGGAUUAGAUACCCUGGUAGUCCACGCCGUAAACGAUGAGUGCUAAGUGUUAGGGGGUUUCCGCCCCUUAGUGCUGCAGCUAACGCAUUAAGCACUCCGCCUGGGGAGUACGACCGCAAGGUUGAAACUCAAAGGAAUUGACGGGGACCCGCACAAGCGGUGGAGCAUGUGGUUUAAUUCGAAGCAACGCGAAGAACCUUACCAAAUCUUGACAUCCUUUGACAACUCUAGAGAUAGAGCCUUCCUCUUCGGGGGACAAAGUGACAGGUGGUGCAUGGUCGUCGUCAGCUCGUGUCGUGAGAUGUUGGGUUAAGUCCCGCAACGAGCGCAACCCUUAAGCUUAGUUGCCAUCAUUAAGUUGGGCACUCUAAGUUGACUGCCGGUGACAAACCGGAGGAAGGUGGGGAUGACGUCAAAUCAUCAUGCCCCUUAUGAUUUGGGCUACACACGUGCUACAAUGGACAAUACAAAGGGCAGCGAAACCGCGAGGUCAAGCAAAUCCCAUAAAGUUGUUCUCAGUUCGGAUUGUAGUCUGCAACUCGACUACAUGAAGCUGGAAUCGCUAGUAAUCGUAGAUCAGCAUGCUACGGUGAAUACGUUCCCGGGUCU
rnacentral:rRNA from 1 species